GCUGAAGUCCAACCCCCCUAAACAAACAAAUAGACAAACAAACAAGACACGAAGACAGUGGGGGACUGAAGGGGGAGAAGUUAAACUGUGGAAGGAUGACGGUAUGCCAAUGAUAUGGUGCGUGCACUCAUCAAUAUCACCGCUAACGGAGGAAGGAAAGAAGUUGAAACCAAUGAGGAUGACCUCAACAGGAGAGAGCCUCCAAGUCCCAGUACUAGAUGCAGUUAAAGGCACUUGUGCGAUUAUUUUCAAUUAUCAAGUAGUAGAGCUGAGCAAUUAAUAAAAUUUAGAUUUAGACCUUCAAAGAUUAUAAAAAAGUUUUGAGAUAAAACAAUUUUCAAAUC
ensembl:processed_transcript